UAUUCAUUCACCUCAUUUCUCUGCCCCGUGCGGCUGUGCCCCACGACCCAUUCCUCUCCCUCAUCCACGAACUCAUCUUAUCCAUCCCCGUGCACACCUUCCUCCGCGCCCCGGCGAGAUCCGUUGCGCCCCGCCUCCAUCGACCUGGCCACGCCGGAGCUCCUCCUUCCCCAGCCCUCUUCUCCGCCGACGCACCCCACACCCCAGACCGGCAGGGAAGCAUCCCGCACCGGCGGACGCGCUCCCCCGCCUCUGACCGGCGCCGGCGUGGCCCCGCGCCGCGCUUCUCCCUUUCGGCGUCGUCCUGCGCGCCGCCGCAUCGAUCCCUCACCGAUUUGAUGCAUCCCGCGGCUGGGACCUUCGAUCCCCGUCGGAUCCGGGCCCUUCUUGUCCAACGACGACAACAAAAGCAUGCAGCGGCUGCUCCAGCCGCCCCACCGCAUAUUCCAACCAGCGCCUCCCUGCUUGUUGUGGACUUGUGAAUCCAUAUGUCAACAUGCAGUGCCGGUACAUAGGCUGCGUCGGCAAGGUCGACAAGGCAAUGGCCUUCGUGAGAACAUUCUUAGGGGUUGAAACGUCGGUGGGAGCGACGUCAGCACUGGAGUCGUGGCCGUGGCGGGCAAGGUGAACCCAGCGGAGCUCUGCCAGUGGCUCAAGAGGAAGACAAGGAAGGAUGCCAAGAUUGUCCACCUUCGUCCACCUGAUGAAGAAUCAUAAUAAGCAGGGCCUCACUAAAUUCUAAAAUGAUGUCAAAGCAACAUUUUCGAGGUUUUGUGCACAUGCCCAAGCAAGAAGGUUCAACAUCCACUUCCAGCAGGACUUGCCUUUUAUUUUCCCUGUUUGCAAGCAAGAAGCUUUGCCAGCUACUUCCAGGAUGAUGAAGUUGUGUCGGUGUUCAUGUGUUUGUCGGAAACGAUGCGUAUAGAGGAUCUUCUUGCAGACAGGAAUGACCAAGACCUUUGCGCAUGAUCUGCAUGUUAGGUUGGUGAUUUGAUUUCUAUCUGAUGAGUGUUGUAGUAGUUACACAACUUGUGCCUGAGAAUGUAGUAGUUUUUAUAAUCGAUGAUUAUGCUUUCUUCUAAGUCAAUGAUUCUACAGUAACCUACCCUACUUGCCUAAUAAUGUCAGCAAGUUGCGCAGAAUAAAUGUUUUUGGCAUAUGAAUGUUUUUGGAACCAGUAAGCGAUUGAGGAGAGAGGUCUUGUAGUGCCGGCAACCAGCAAGCAAAUUAGGAGCAAGAGCCAAGAGGACGCCACGCGUCGCGACCACCUAGCAGGGAGGAGCUAGAUCCGGAAAAUCUUUUUCCUAGUGGUCGAGAAUUAGCCCGCAAAUCUCCAGUAAGUAUCUCAAAAUCUCCCCCCUAAGCAUGCGUAUACUCAAAUCUAUGACUAUGUGUUAGAGGCAGGAUAGGUAGGUUGAAGAGGGGUGUGUGCAGUCCCGGGUUUUUGGGCGAAUCGAUAUUUUUUGCAUGGGGGUGGUUUUGCGGCGUGGGGAUGUAGGGGCUGGAAUCGUCGACAUUUUGAGCCGAAACUGUCCAAAAGUUGCCCGACGUAUAGCAGUUAGUUGCUGGAGAUGAUGGUGCUAGUUGCCUAGAGAUCCGCUCCCGAGAGUGUUGGGUUUUAUUUUCGCCCAAAACUUACCCAACACAUGAUAAUUAAUCAUUGGAGAGGCUGACACGAGUUGCCCAAAGAUAUUUUUUAGCAACAAAUUAAUUUAGUUUGCCUAAAAGUUGCUAUUUUCAAUAGGAUAAGAUGCCUACAUAUAGACAGUACUUGCCUAAAUCACCUAAGUUUGUAGAUAUUUUGUUAUCCACUAAUUUGAUACACGGAAUCGCUUGUCGUUUGGUCCACUUAAAUAUGCAAACCAUUUCGGUUGUAACAUAAUCAACACCCAUUAUUUGAUACAUGGAUAAUGUUAGGACAAAAUUGCCUUAUAGUACUAGAAAGUACUUGUAGGCUAGGAUAAUAUUGGGGGAAAGUAGUUCGUGGCAAAGUUGCCUAACUUUGUAGUGUUGUAGGCAAAGUUAGGGGAAGCAUCAAAGUAGCCUUACAUAGCACCAAAGUCUUCUUGUGUUCAUUGAUACUGCAAAAUUGCUUCCUGAAACACCAAAGUUGCCUCAGAUAGCAUCAAAGUUGCUUGAAAAAAAGGUUUGGCAAAACAUACCCAUAGGGGGUCUUGUUUCGAAGAGCUCAUGGCAAGAAAGUAAACAGUGAAAACAAAAUUGAAUUUUGACGCCCAGUUUAGAAGUUAUAGCUUUUUAUGUUUUUCUGAAUGAACUAAAUGCACGAGAUGCAUUUCCUAACUUGUGUGCUCCAUAUGAGCAGGAAGGAGUGAUGGAACCACUUGGUGGGGAGGCAGGAUCUUUUCCGUUAAGUGCCACAUGGGAUGGGGACAACCUUUCCUUUGUAGGACGGUGUGGACAGAAUUUUACCUUUUUAGGGUGUGUGUUCGGGGGCACUAGCCAGCCAACGGGUGCUGGCUAGACGUGUCCAUAUAAGAAAACCUAAAAUCUAAGGACACCCAUAACGCCCACACAUGUGGGCAUUAAGGGGUCUGCCCACACCGUUUGUGUAGUGUUUAAGAGUAUCAGCCCACAAGCCUACGUGUGGGCAAAACAAGUAAUGACUACAUGCCUUUUUCCCUCGCGGUCCCUCUCACAUGCCUACGUGUGGGCAAAAUAGAUAACGCCCACACGCCCGUACGUCAGGCCUCCUAUAUUAUGGCCCCUCAGGCCCCGCGUGACAGUCACCACGCGUCCCCGUAGUUGCCAUGGUCUGGACCCUCUUCCAUGUUCAUUUAACUGCAGUUGCCAUGUCGCUGAACUACAAUUGCCAUGUUGGCAACUACAGUUGCCAUGGUUGCUCAACUGCAGUUGCCAU